GGCAAGGUGGUCGAGUGGUUAAGACGUAAGACUUGAAUCCUGCCUGGAUGAGAUCUUAUCCCUUUGGGGUCGCGCGUUCAAAUCGCGUCCUUGUCG
rnacentral:tRNA from 1 species